CUUAUUAGACUGCUGAUGGAGGGCAGAAAAGCCUUCUCAGUUACCCAGUUUCCUGUGCCAACGGACAAUCGAUAAGCAUGAAAGAGAUGAAUGGCAAGCUACUGGUGAGAAAAGGAGAUAAAAAUGACAACAAACAAGAAACCGAAUGAAGAACAAAGAACAAAGAUUUCAAGAAAUUUUAUCUGAAACUCUUGAGAGACUGAAGAGAAGCCCCCCGACCCAGUUUCCUGUCUCAUAGUUAAUCCUGUGUUCCCUCUGGACCAUACUCUGCAGAACAGUGAGUGCUCCCUUCUCCGUUGAACAAAACUGCUGCCAAAACCUAAACACUCUGUUACUCUGGUUCCGAAUCCCAUGGAUUUCAACACAGCACGGCACAAGCUCGCUCUCUCUGAGUUCAGCAACUCAAGGAGAAAAGUUAUUGUGCCCAAGAUGGUGAGAGAAUGAGUUCAAAACAGAAUGAAGUGCUUGCUCAACCCUGAUCUUUUAAAUGCCUGCCGGGAAACUGGGCUCUCGGAAAGUGUUGCUCCUUCCACAGCAUUCAAGUUCAGGUCCCCGUGACAUAGAAAAGCCCUUUGUGUCCCAGAAGAACAAGUCGGGAGAAACCACAUGUAUACUUCUCAAGAUGGAAAGAGCAGUCGUAGCCCAGUGACAGCCAACAGAGCUCACAAGUCCUUAGGCACGGUAAACUGACUUGUUUGUUUUAUUUUGUGGGUAUUUGUGCGUAUGGCGUAUGGUAUGUCUAUGCACCUGUUUUUGCCUGUCUGUGGAGGACAGAGUGGGUACUUGAUACCCUGAAACUGGAGGUACAGAGGGUGUGAGCCACCCUGUGGGUGCUGGGAAUCGAACCUGGGUCCUCUGGAGGAGCAGCUGGUGCUUUCAACUGCUGAGCUCCCUCUCCAGCUCCUGCUAAGCUGAUUUUUGACAAGGGGGCUAAGACUAUUAGAUAGAUAGGAAUUAAUUAAUUAGUCUUUUCCAUAAAUAGUGCUAGAAAAAGCAGAUUUAAAAUAUCUUUCCACAAAAGAGUGAAAAUGAGCCUAUACACUAUAUGCAAAAGUGAACCCAAAACAGAGCAAGGAGCAGUCACGCUAGCCCAUAUUUGUAAUCCCAGCACUCAGGAGGCUGAGGCAGGAGGGCUGUUAUGAGUUCAAGGACAACUUGAGCUGCUUAAUGAGUACCAGGUGAACCAGGAUUCUCAAGGAAAAUCUGAUAUAAAGACCUGAAUUUGUGAACUGAAACUGUAGGAGUCUUCUAAGCAAAGAUAGUGGAGGCUAGGACGCAGCUCUGCUGGUGCCAUAGACAUAGAGGGUCCUAAGUGUGAUCUCAAGCACCACAGAGAAAAGCAGAAUGUCCUGCCCUAUGCAGAUGAUCCCAAUAAUUCCUGUACUCAGAAGGUGGAGGCAAAAGCUCAAGGUGAAAGAGAGAGAGAGAGACAGAGGCAGAGAGGAAGGAAAGAAAGAAGGAAGGGAGGAAUGGAAAAGAAAAAGAAAGAGCAAAACCCCUGCAUCAUGUUGUCAUUGGCAAUGAUUUUUUUCUAGACUAUUAUGGCAAAUAUAAC